rnacentral:rRNA from 1 species
GAUGAACGCUGGCGGCGUGCCUAAUACAUGCAAGUCGAGCGAACAGACGAGGCGCUUGCGCCUCUGACGUUAGCGGCGCACGGGUGAGUAACACGUGGAUAACCUACCUAUAAGACUGGGAUAACUUCGGGAAACCGGAGCUUAUACCGGAUAAUAUAUUGAACCGCGUGGGUCAAUAGUGAAAUACGGUUUUGCUGUCACUUAUAGAUGGAUACGCGCCGCAUUAGCUAGUUGUUACGUUAACGGCUUACGAAGGGUAGGAUGCGUAGCCGACGUGAGAGGGUGAUCGGCCACCCUGGAACUGGGCCACGGACCAGGCUCCUACGGGAGGCAGCAGUAGGGAAUCUUCCGCAAUGGGCGAAAGCCUGACGGAGCAACGCCGAGUCAGUGAUGGAGGCCUUCGGAGCGUAAAGCUCUGUUAUGAGGGAAGAACAAAUGUGUAAGUAACUAUGCACGUCUUGACGGUACCUAAUCAGAAAGCCACGGCUAACUACGUG